UUCGUUUCUUCAGCUGUCUUGAGAUUCUAGUUUGGUUUGCUGGUUGUGAAGCUCUCAUACCAUUCCAGCCAACAAGUCACAUAACAAGGCUUGGGCUUCACGGUUGCUGUUUACAGCAUUGCUCAAGUUUGUGAUCUAGUUCUCUCUCUCUCUCUCUCUCUCUCUCUCUCUCUCUCUCUCUCUCUCUCUGUCAAAGCUGUUGUUGAACUUGGUUGUGCAAUAAUGGAAGUCAGUAUUUCCUCAACUAAGGGUCUUCCCUUGCUUCUUCUGACCUGCCCACCUGUCUGAGAGCCCAGAGAGGGGGCAUCUGACAGGUGUUAUGAGUGAAUAAUGGUCAUGUAGUUGUCAUUUUCUAGAAACCUGGAAGUUUAUGAAAAGUAUUUGGGGUUUUUCAAUGUUGGCAGCUAAUUAAAAACAUCUUAAAAGCCCCACAUGCUCUUGGAGGCCAGAGUUAGUCCACUGACCUCUGAGAUACGCUGGGUGUUCUAUACAUAGCCCAUUCCAAUUGCAAAAUCCACCAAGAGCCCCUGCAACUAACCUAAGUGGUUUUGCUCUGCUUGGACUGGUAGAAAAGACAAGAUUCCUGGACUGCUCUGAGUUGUGUAGCCAAAAGCUUUGUAGUCACUUAAUUUGGUCUGUGAUUGCUAGCUUGGGAGAUCCUUGACCAAGUUACAUCUUUUACAAGCCAAGUCCCAAGCAUGACUCUGUACCCCAUCCAAGUCCCCUGAGUGUUCUAGAGUCACUUUGGUCCUCUCUCCCUGACAUGUAGCCAGACUUGGUAGAUCUACAGAAAGUAUCCAUUUCCCUGGAGUAACAAAGCAGAGAAAAGUAGGGAAGUUACACUGUUCUCUCUUCUGCCCUCCCCUCCCCUCUCCCACCCUGUGUCACCUAGGGUCCUAGCACUGGACAAAGCUCCUUGUUUUAGGCUGCCGUGUAUCUGCAAGUGACCAAAUGUUUCUCUCUCAAUACUCCCUUUGUACACAAUGAUUCGGCUGGUAUUUGUUUCUAAUAAUAGAUUGGUAACAGAUACCCUCGUUGUUGGGCACUGGGUACAUGCAGCACAAAUUAAAAAUCCAAGACAAAGGGUUCAAAUGCCUGGCAACUUUAACAACAACUCUUACUGCUGGGAACAGACCUCAUGUUGUGCUGGGCAAGUGAGGGGCGGACUCCUGUAAGGCUGUGGAACUGAGUUCAUAGAGAGGAUGUCAUUGGGAAGUAGGUGGGGCUCCAGGAAUAUAGAUAACCAGGAGUCUAGAAGUUCAUGUGAACACAAGCAAUAGUACACAGGUCUGUAGUGGAAAUGCCAAUAUCUAGUCACCCCCAGACCCAGGAGAAUCAGGUAGCAAGGCUAGAUUCUUCCCUGGGCUCGCCUGGUGACGCUCCCUGUCAUGGUUUCCAUUUCCCUCAACGAGGCCUGCUUUAACAUGUCAGAGGAGGUUGUGGGCUAUGAACCUUUCGGGUCUAAGUCUGAACACCUAGGACUUGCUUCCCCCUGCCUUGUCCUCAUUAUGCAUUUAUUUCCCUCUUUGAGGCAAUUUUAAGUGUUUUUUUUUUUAAUCCACCAAUGUGUCUUUUCUCUCUUUUGAAAUUUUACUUGCCUGGCAAAUGUGGGGGUCAACCAUGAUCACUGAGGAGGAGAAUGUCCGCCUGUAUGUGUGACCUCCGACGGUCAAGUCACUUGCUGAUGGAGCUAUUGGGAACAUUUCCUGCCCACGUGACUCAGUAUUCAGAGGCAAAAGUCUCUACUUCAUUUGAACGGAGUCGGGUGGGAAGAUGCUCAAGAAGGACACCAGCCUUUUCUUCUCUGAGCAGAUGGCUUCCAGUGACUGGAUGAUCUUAGCAGCCUUCAGGUAGAAGACUGAAAUGAAGACACGUAUCCCGAUCUGGAGACGUGCCUUUGGGUCUUUUCCUGCAUGAUUACUCGAAGCUUCUGUCAUGCACUGUACUAGGAGCAGCAAGCAAGGGCAUUGGAGCCACACAUGGCAGCAGGAAGAAAAUCCUACUAAGGGUUUUCCUACAGUAUUUACUUGAUGAGUUGACUGCAUGGUCCAAACUUCAGGGGCAUGAAAUACUAUUUGAUUUUUAUGUAUGUGAAUGCAUGUGCAUAUAUUUGAAGGUACUCAUGGAGCCUGGAGGACAACCUGAAGUGCACUUCAGGGAUAUUAUCUCCUUUGAGAGCAGAUCUCUCCCUGGCCAGGUGUUCCCUAAGUAAGCUAGACUGGCUAAGCAGCGAGUCCCAGAAUCCUCUUGACUCGUCCUCAUGGCACUGCGAUGAUUUUUGUAUGGAUUCUGGGACUGAACUUGCCUUUGAUCAUAUCUGGGUCUUCCUGUUUGUGAGGCAGGCAGUUUUCUGCUCCCCAGCAACAAUGCUAUUUACUUUUAAAGGACCUCAGCUCAGCGUCCCUGAAGUGCUCGGCCAUUUACUGUUGGUUUCCUUUAUUAUAACCUCAUGAGGGAGGUGGUCAGAAAGGGGGCGGCUGUGUCUAAAGUUGUCUAAUACUAUUAGUUUUCAACUUUUUUAGUGUGAUAAAAUACAGAAUUUACCAUCUCA